GAUGAACGCUGGCGGCGUGCCUAAUACAUGCAAGUCGAGCGAACGGACGAGAAGCUUGCUUCUCUGAUGUUAGCGGCGGACGGGUGAGUAACACGUGGAUAACCUACCUAUAAGACUGGGAUAACUUCGGGAAACCGGAGCUAAUACCGGAUGAUAUUUUGAACCGCAUGGUUCAAAAGUGAAAGACGGUCUUGCUGUCACUUAUAGAUGGAUCCGCGCUGCAUUAGCUAGUUGGUAAGGUAACGGCUUACCAAGGCAACGAUGCAUAGCCGACCUGAGAGGGUGAUCGGCCACACUGGAACUGAGACACGGUCCAGACUCCUACGGGGGGCAGCAGUAGGGAAUCUUCCGCAAUGGGCGAAAGCCUGACGGAGCAACGCCGCGUGAGUGAUGAAGGUCUUCGGAUCGUAAAACUCUGUUAUUAGGGAAGAACACAUGUGUAAGUAACUGUGCACAUCUUGACGGUACCUAAUCAGAAAGCCACGGCUAACUACGU
rnacentral:rRNA from 1 species